AACGAACGCUGGCGGCAGGCUUAACACAUGCGAGUCGAGCGGAGCGAGGGUGCUUGCACCUUAGCUUAGCGGCGGACGGGUGAGUAAUGCUUAGGAAUCUGCCUAUUAGUGGGGGACAACAUUCCGAAAGGAAUGCUAAUACCGCAUACGCCCUACGGGGGAAAGCAGGGGAUCUUCGGACCUUGCGCUAAUAGAUGAGCCUAAGUCGGAUUGGCUAGUUGGUGGGGUAAAGGCCUACCAAGGCGACGACCUGUAGCGGGUCCAAGAGGAUGAUCCGCCACACUAGGACGGAGAGACGGCCCGGAUGCCUACGGGAGGCAGCAGUGGGGAAUAUUGGACAAUGGGCGGAAGCCUGAUCCAGCCAUGCCGCGUGUGUGAAGAAGGCCUUUUGGUUGUAAAGCACUUUAAGCGAGGAGGAGGCUCUUAAGGUUAAUACCCUUGAUGAGUGGACGUUACUCGCAGAAUAAGCACCGGCUAACUCUGUGCCAGCCGCCGCGGUAACAC
rnacentral:rRNA from 1 species